rnacentral:tRNA from 1 species
GCUGCCGGUGGACGGGUUGGCGGACGUCGAGGUCGCCCUCUCCGGCCCCGGCUUCUCGACGACGGGUCGGGGUGCGAACGCCCUCGGCGGCCC